rnacentral:rRNA from 1 species
GGAGCUGAAGCCAGUCGCAGAUACCAGCUGGCUGCAACUGUUUAUUAAAAACACAGCACUGUGCAAACACGAAAGUGGACGUAUACGGUGUGACGCCUGCCCGGUGCUGGAAGGUUAAUUGAUGGGGUUAUCCGUAAGGAGAAGCUCUUGAUCGAAGCCCCAGUAAACGGCGGCCGUAACUAUAACGGUCCUAAGGUAGCGAAAUUCCUUGUCGGGUAAGUUCCGACCUGCACGAAUGGCGUAAUGAUGGCCAGGCUGUCUCCACCCGAGACUCAGUGAAAUUGAACUCGCUGUGAAGAUGCAGUGUACCCGCGGCAAGACGGAAAGACCCCGUGAACCUUUACUAUAGCUUGACACUGAACAUUGAGCCUUGAUGUGUAGGAUAGGUGGGAGGCUUUGAAGUGUGGACGCCAGUCUGCAUGGAGCCAACCUUGAAAUACCACCCUUUA